rnacentral:lncRNA from 1 species
ACACACACAAAAAAAAAAAAAAAAAAAGAACUAAAAAAAAACACGCAAAAAAUAGGAGACCUUGCCCGGCUUCUUCUUCAUUCUAUGAUUCAACCACCAAACACACACGCCCAUAAAAUACACAAAUAUUCCGAAAUACUCAACAAUAAAAUCGAUUUCCGAUUUGAAAUACAGAGACUGAUCUCUAGAAGAUCGAAGUCAUUCUAACCGAAGAAACACCUCACAUGGAAGAAGCUAAAAACGACAUAUCUGAGGCUUGAGCUGCGGCCCGAGGCUUUCUUAUUCUCCAUUUUUCGUUCCUACUCUCCUGGACACUCAAGGAUACACAUCUGAAAAGGCUAAGGGAAACUGUUUGAAAUUCGAAAAAUAUUAGAAGAAAAUUGGGGGAACAGAGAAUUGGAAAGCUCGACUAAUUUCUUCUGCGUUAUCUCCACAAUUUCUGGGUUUUCAGGUUUUAUUUUUGAAAAUUUGGGCGUUUAAAGGUGUCGGAAAGUUUUUCUCGGGCUGUGGAUUUUCUGUAUUUGUGGAUGUUGAUGUUGGAACCAUAUUGAGCUCUACCAGUUCUAUUUUGGCCUUUAUUCGGCCAUUUUUGGAUUAUUUCUUCGUUGUCAAGGUAUUUAUUCUUAUUACCUUCAGAUUUGAUAUUUGAAUUUCCAUGAAUUAACAUACGUUGUUUCUCUUAUGAAUUAAUAAUUGUUCCUUGAUUUGAACUCUACGAUGAAUUUAGACAAGAGGGUUGCUCUGAUGGUUAGCAACCUUCACUUUCAAUCGAGAGGUUGUGAGUUCGAGUCUUCUCAAGAGCAAGGUGAUAUUUUCUUGGAGGGAAGGAUGCCUGGGGUCUAUUUGAAAAUAUCCUCUCUACCCAAGGAUAGGGGUAAGAUCUGUGUACACACUAUCCUCCCCAAACCACACUAAGUGGAAUUAUACUGGGUUGUUGUUGUUGAUGAAUUCAGAUGUUGGAAAUGGGUCGUUUCUUUGAACUGUUGUAUAUUUGUUAUCCCAAGUUCCUAUGGGUUUGCCAUUUUGGUCAUCCUUGUAUUCCUUUUGGUGGUUGUAUUUUGUGGUGUCUGAUGAUGCUUUCUCUUCUUACUCUUUUUCACCAGUUCCAUGAAUGUUUGGCUUCUAUGUGAUUGAAAUAUAGUAUUAGUUUAUUAUUCAAGUUUUAUUUGAUUUGGUUUCUGAUUGUGUGACAACAUUAAGCAUGCUAUUGGUUUUUUUUGUAGUUCUGCUUGAAUUUUCUAAUCAUGAUCCUUAAUGCUUCAUCAGUACUAGUUUAUAUCUCAUCAGUUUUAAGGAAAAUUACUUUCCUUAAAAUUGGUAUUUCUUUCCUGAACACUAUUUCCCUCUUCUUCUUUUAACAAACUUGUAUUUGACCUUCAUGUUCUUUGAAUGGGUACCCGACUUCAAAAACGAUUUUCAAAACGGCAGAAAAUUUUCUGCCCCAGCAUUUCCUUCCGCAAUCAAUAACAUUUCCAUGCCCCUGUUUCAAAUCAAAGAACAUUUUGUCAGUUUAAGGUAUGGUGGUUGGUUGUGGUACUUCCGCUAGAGAUGGAUUUCUCCUUUCCAUGCUAUGUGUUGUCCGACCAUCUUUUGAACUUGGCUGAUAACUUCCGACCUUCUUGGAGACCCCUUAUUCACAAACUUCCGCAUUUUACCCUUCCUAUCGGCGAUGAACCCCAAUGUACGUCUGCUGCCCUUACAUGAUGUUGUCCUUUCUUGGCUUAUCUGAUGUCCUUGCCCCUGAGGUUUGUUGUCUUAUCCGCUUGUUGCCCCUGACCUUGAAAUUUAUUGCUCUUCAGCUUAGUCACAUAAAAUAUCUAUUCCCCCUUCAAACCUAAUGCCAUUUCUCUACUGCAUUACUCCAUAGCCGACAUCUACCAAAUUCGCGUCUCGCCAGGAUCCCCAAAGCAUGUUGAUUAUUACUAGCUCAAUGCUCUUUUUUUUUUCUUAACAUGACACUUUGAUAUGCUAGGCAGAUAUUGUUUUGUGCAAUUGGAAAGCUGGUGGAAAAUUUUGAAGUCAUUUCUCACUUGUUAUAACUAAACCGACUCAGAGAGAGAAAGUGAAUGAAACAGAGGAACGGGGUGAAAGAAAAGGAAAGAGAAGAAUCCUAAAGAAAAAACUAUGAAAUAAAAACCUAUCUAACGUGGAUACUAACUCUAAUGACCAUGACAUGCACAUGUAAAUAUUCUGCCAAUCAAACCCGAUUUUCAGCUCUUAUUGUACAUUUUCGCCGUGAAAUUAGGCUUCAAUACUCCGCUUAUCCGAUAUGAUUCUCAUUCCUUAUUUGACUUGUAGUGUCCGAAGGGUUUUCACCAUCAAGUCUCUCUCAUUUUUUCUUUCUCUUAACUUACCAUCGCCUUAAGGUGCCUGUGAAGGUUUUUACCAAUAAGGCUCUCUCAUUUUUAUUUUUCUCAGCUUUUGUCGCCUUGCGGUACCCGUGAAGGUUUUCAUCAAUCCCGCUCUCUAUUUUCUUGCUUGGACUGGAAUGUUGCUCCUGACAUGAAUUACCUUUACCUUCUUGACUUGGCAUUUCUCAAAGACUGAUCGGAAGUUCUUUCUUUGGACUGUAAUGUGGGCUUUUGGAUAGGGUUAGAAAGAAAGGAUAUAAAGGCUCAAAACAAUUCAAAAUGGGGUUAAAACUACAACUUUCCGAAUCUGAUUUCUUUCAACGAUCACAAUUUCUGCCCCUGUUUCUUGCUUGGGGACUUUUGAAAUUUUAUUUUGGUAGAUCCGAUUUCUUUUAACAAUCACAACUUCUGCCCCAGUUUCUUGCUUGGGACUUUUGGAAUUUUAUUUCGGUAUGAUUGAACCUCAAGGAGGUUGCCUACGUACCCUUUCGGGAUCAAGUCAAACGUAGUUCACGCCAUAGCAACUACGUUGUUGUGAUUUUCUUUCUCUCUUUUUUCUGUUUUCUUCAUUUUUCUUUUUUUUCUUCCCUCUCUUUCUUUUCUUUUCUUUUCUCUUCUUUUUUUGUCUUUUCUUUUUCCUUUCUCCCCUUUUUUCCUCUCUUUUUCCUUUUCUCUUUUUCUUUUCCUUCUUCUUUUUUCUUUCUUUCCUUUUCUUUUCCAUCUUUUUCCAUUUGCUUAUCUCUGGCACUUGCAUUUCUUUGAUUGUGGCAUUAAUUCCGAAAGAGGGAUAUGAAAGAAAAUAAAAAUGGCUCAAAAGGUGUGACAAUGGAAAAAGUGUUUCGAUAGCAGAACAAAACGCUUUCGUCAUUUCAACCCUCAAAAUAUGCCAAGUACAAACAGGUACAAUCAAAAUACAGAAACCAUGCACAGUAUCUCUUGACUGCAGCGGAAUUGACGGCCAUUUCCAACACUUUCUUUCUACAUUUGUCUGAUGUAAUGUGCCAUUGGGUCACAUUCUUACUCUUAUUACCACGACCUGCCCCUGUCAAUUUGGCCAACUUGCUUUUGCGGGGAUUUUUUAUGUUUUGCUUGCCCCAGUUUCACAUGGUUCGGGCGUCAAACAAUCUCACAACGUUCAAAUCUAUUCUUAUUUCCUCAAAUACCCUCAUCAUCUUCAGAAUCGUUUCAUUGCUUCCCGACCAACAUGGCUUUAAAAAUCCGACUGAGAACUAUGUGUGCAUGUCAUGUCACUAGAACCAGCAGGAAAAGAAUUGUAUAAAGAAAAGAGAACUAAACAAAAAUGACUAGAAAUGGUAGAAAAGAGAGAAUUGUAUUAAACAUAUGGUGAAAGGGUUUAACAACAAAACAAGUAACACAAACUAGGGUACAAUCCUAAAACAUACCUAGAUAACACUGUAUAAGAUAUGAAAACUAAAGGAACUAGACAAAUAAAAGGAUUGAAGGGUUUGAUUCACAAGACAAUAUUCGGAUUACAACCCUGAAAAUAACCCGGACUACAGAAAUGACAACAACAUAAACUACCAAAACUUCUCUCCAGCUAGCCAAGAGAUGGAGCGUCUUUCCAAUUACCAAGCUCGGCAUCUUAGCCACUGAGUGCUGCAUCAAUAUUCCCAAGAUCAUUACCAACUUCGAUAUCAUCAACUUCGGUCAUCAAGUUCCCAAGAGGAUUCGCAUGCUCCCUAUCAUUGUCAUUAACCACAAUUACCCCUUCUUGAAUCAUUCUUUCUAUUUCCCUUUUCAAAUCCCGACNNNNNNNNNNNNNNNNNNNNNNNNNNNNNNNNNNNNNNNNNNNNNNNNNNNNNNNNNNNNNNNNNNNNNNNNNNNNNNNNNNNNNNNNNNNNNNNNNNNNNNNNNNNNNNNNNCUUUUAGAUGAGUCAAAGCUUCUCGCACGUCGGUCCACCUGAUUUGGAGGAAUGGGUGCAAUCAUGUCAUGUUGUUUUAACUUCUCAAAUAGGCUUGCAUUGGACUCUCCUAUUGGUGUAAAACUAUCUUUCAUCUUUUGUUCCCUUCUAUACCCCUGGCUUGGGUAUGGGUUAUAAGGUACUUGCAAAUUUUGCGGAGGCGGGUAGAGAUUUUGUGAUACUCGUGCUCGCUUUCUUGGGUGAUAUGAUGGUUGGGCAACAUACUGGGAUGGAUCAACAAAGUAUAGGGGGUUCGGAGGUGGAUAGUAAUGCUGAGGGGGGUCAUAGAAAACCUGAUGAGGCUGCACAUACCUUCGAGCUGUUGUCCUAGGACCUUUUCUCGACCCUGAUAUCAUCAUGAUUUUUUCAUCCUUCUCAUCCAUGUUACCAGAUUCAAUUUGGACAGCCUGAGCUGCAGCUUUGAGAGAUGUUUGACAUAUAAUUCUGCCUGUCUUAAGACCGUUCUCCACCAUUUCUCCCAUUUUGACUACUUCCGGGAAGGAUUUACCUACUGCGGACGUCAUGUAUUGAAAAUAAUCUGGCUCUUGAGCCUGUAGAAAGACAAUGAUUAACUCAUGGUCAUCCAUGGGCGGCAUAGCACUAGCUGUCUGCUCUCUCCAUUUGAUGGCAUAUUCCCUGAAACUUUCAGUUGGUUUCUUUUUCAGGUUAGAUAGCUGCCUGCUCUCUCCAUUUGAUGGCAUAUUCCCUGAAACUUUCAGGUGGUUUCUUUUUCAGGUUAGAAAGGGAAAUGCGGUUUGGGGCGAUGUCGAUGUUGUAUUGAAACUGUUUGACAAAGGCCCGUGCCAUGUCAUCCCAGACGUACCAGCGAGAUGUGUCUUGAUCUAAAAACCAUUCAGAUGCUACUCCUGAGAGGCUUUCCCAAAAUACGCUAUAAACAACUUUUCAUUUUCUCUCACACCUCUCAAUUAGCUGCAAUACCUUUUCAGGUGUCUAUGGGGUCUCCAUGUCCAUUUUACUUUUCAAAUUUGGGAAACUUGAAACCAGACGGUAAGUGGACAUCGGGGAACAUGCAUAGAUCUCUGAAGGAAACACUUUUUUGACCUGUCAUUGCUUGCGUGUUUUUCAGAUGUUCUAAUCUUUUCACUCUUUGGGCUAUUUCUUCCUGUACCCUCUGUCGGGCAGGCUUCUUGAUGUUUGCGGGAAGAUCAAACGAGUACGAGUGGUACUCGGUAGAGUGGUACUGUUCUUGCGGUGUAGCAAAUUGUGACUCAUGACAAGGCUGUCCUUAGCCAUUGGCCCAGGCUUGCUGUAUUUAAGUCAUUUUCUAUUUCGAUGUUAUAUUCUCCUCAAACACCGUAGACUCUAGUUGAACCCUCUGACCCUGAGUCUCUUGAGAACUUGUAACAACUUCGAUGUCGGUUAUCAUUUUCCCUCAGAUUUUGUGUUUUAAGCUUACCACAACCAACCACCUCAACAUUUUUCAAUAUUCAAAACAAAACAUGUUAGAAUGGAUUGGGUCGGUCCUCAUUAUUCAAAACAACUUUUCCACUUUUUUUUUUGUUUUUCAUUUUUUUUGGUUUUGGUUGUGGUCGAAUCCUAUGUGGAUUGCCUACGUAUCGUGACCCCGCACGGUUUUUCAUUAUAUUGGUUGUGGUCGAAUCCUAUGUGUAUUGCCUACGUAUCGUGACCCCGCACGAAUCAGACCAGGCGUAGUUCGUGCCAAUAAAAGGUAAACGACAAUAAAAUAUUUUUGGAAUUUUCUAUUUUUAUUAUAACCACAAAAUAUUUUUGGUAUUCACUAGACCACUUAGUUUUUUCUUAUUUUUUCAAAUUAAAAUAAAUGAUCUGAUAUUGCAAACACGACCUUCCAACACCUCGGGGACGAAGAUUUUAGGGCUGUGAGGGUCAAAAAUUAAAAUAUGACCAAAGGUGACUAUUUAUGCAAGGUUAGCCCUCCGGCGUUCCGUUUGGGAACAUUUGGCUAUUUUUGACAAAAACGGCAUCACAUGGUUUAUUUAUGACGUAAAUUAAAAAUUUGACAUUUUUUAUUUUUUGGGCUAUUUUUGUACAGGGGAAGUUGGACCCGAUGAGGGUUGCCUACGUAUCUCACGCCCUGUGAGAAUCAAACCAUGCGUAGUUCGGGCAAAUAAACUAACCAAUUUUAAGGCAAAACUCUAACUUUUCCUAUUUUAUUUUUGAAAUAACAACCCUUUUCCUAUUUUUUCUAAUAAUUUUCCAAAAAAUCUUUUUCUAUUAAAACAACUUCUUUUCUUUUUUCAAAAUUUUGGCAGAGUUUCGGCUGUACUUGGGCAUCAAAUUUUAUCCAAGCAUUAACUCCCUAACUGUUAUUUUCUCUCAUUUUCUCUAUUUUUCUUUUAUCUUUUCUCAAAUUCCGACAUUCCAAUAUUCAAAACAGGUCAACAUGUAGGUUCGAACAAAUAAAUCCAUAGAACAAGUAGGAGGCACUAGGAUGGUCUUUUCAUUUCAAGUUGCUAGCCCUAGACGGACCCAACCCCUAUGUUGAAUCCCCGAAGCCAAAUUCAGCUUGAUCCAAAUAAGCAUUCCUACUAGGGAUCUGGCAUCAAGUCAUGUUAUUCUAGGUUCAAAACCUGGGUCGGUGUUCUAGACAGUGUACCCGAGCAGACAACUCGGAUCAAGGAAGGAGCAACGUACCGGUGACCCGCGCGAUCGUCCGGCUUUGUAACUUGUCUGAUCCUCUUUUUAUUUCAGGGUAUUAAACUAACAGAAUCGGGAGUCUCAACCAGUAAGCACAUCCCCGGAGGUAAAGAGAGAAGGGUGUCGGCACAGUUUAUAUACAUUUCAAAUAAUAUCAAAGCGGUAACAUUUAGCACAUUAAGCAUGAAACAUGUCGGAAAAUUAGAUAUAGCCAAAUACAACAAUUAUUCUAAGCUCGAAUUCUGAACCCUGAAAAAAACGUUCUGGGUCCUUUUCCCCAGCAGAGUCGCCAGAGCUGUCACACCCCCCUUUUUACUAUACACCCCCCGCAAAAGAGGCGUAAAGGAGUUUUUCCAGUUAAAGGAUACUCGGAACAAGAUUUGGUUAUUAAUUAUUCAGAGUCGUCACUUAGGAGAUUAAUGGUGUCCCAAGUCACCGGUUUUAAUCCCGAACCAAGCAAGAUUAUGACUUUGUUAACAGUCCGCGAACCAGAAAUCCGGAUAAGGAAUUCUGUUAACCCGGGAGAAAGUGUUAGGAAUUCCCGUGUUCCGUGGUUUUGGCACGGUCGCUCAACUAUGUAUUUGAUUUUAUCUGAUUUUAAUACACGCUAGCUUAUGUGCCUUUUAUUUACAAACCGCUUUUACCAUUAUUUAUUUUUAAAAGACUUGCGACGUGAUGAAAACACAUCUCUGACCACGUUGCCAUCCAGGCACCCAUGUUCGCAACACCUUUCGACUUCGUCGAGAUUUGGAUUUGGGUCGCAUCAAUACGCACCCGAGUUUAAGGAAGUAAUUUAAUUAAAUCGCGCUUAAAGGUUCUAUCGUAAUAUUGUUUGGAAAAGGCCGUUGAAAUUCGCUAAACGACCCUUCCAAAUACUAAUCAUUUUAAUAAACAAAUAUCUCAACACCUAUUCAACCUCCUUCCAAUAUCACUGAUGAUGUUCUGCCUAUUUCUCAUGAUCCCUUUACUUUUUCAGCACCUACUUCUGCCCCCGAGACUACUGCCCCUUCAGUUGUUCCAAGUCAGUCUUCCCAGCUUAAGUGAAGCGGUAGGCAUCAUACUCUUCCCUCACACCUAAAUGAUUUUGUUGUUCAGCUUCCCCUUCCGUUGUUCAGCUUCCCCUUCCCUUUCUAACUCCACUACUACAUCCCUUUUCGCUGCCCAUAUAGUUUUUUUUGAGCCUUAUUCUUAUAUUCAUGUUGCUUCCAGUUCUUCUUGGCAAGAAGCCAUGAGGAAGGAGUUUCAGGCUCUAGAAACUAAUGGAACUUGGACAAUAGUUGAAUUACCUCAAGGAAUGAAAGCUAUAGAAUGCAAAUGGGUGUAUAAGAUUAAGUAUAAAGCUUAUAGUAGUGUGGAGAGGUACAAGGAAAGGUUGGUUGUUAGGGGUGAUACACAAGUAGAGGGUAUUGAUUUUCAUGAGAUAUUUUCCCCGGUGGUAAUAAUGUGCACCAUUAGAUGCUUAAUUGUUGUUGCCGCUAAAAAGAAAUGGUAUCUCUUUCAAUUGAAUGUCAAUAAUGUGUUUCUUCAUGAUGAUUUUGAUGAGGAAGUGUACAUGAAACUUCUCCCUAUCCUAACAGUUUCUUCUACCAAAAAUUCUGCUUCUCCUCUGGUUUGUAAGCUUCAAAAAUCUCUCUAUGGUUUGAGGCAAAGCCUUUCGACAAUGGUUUGCUAAGCUAUCUCAAGCUCUUUACACUAGAGGUUAACUAAUUCUUUGAAUGAUUACUCUUUAUCAACUUCAUCUACUGUCUUACUUGCUGUUUAUGUUGAUGAUAUAAUUCUUACUGGUAAUGAUCUUGUUGAGAUAGCUGCUCUCAAACAAUUCCUUGAUGGCCAAUUUAAACUAAAGGAUUUAGGCUUGCUCAAUUAUUUUUUGGGUAUUCAAAUUUUGUAAGAUGAGUUUGGGGUUCUUCUCCACAAGAAAAAGUUUACUUAUGAUUUAAUUUCUGAGUUUAGGUGCACUGAUGCUUCAGUUGUAGUAUCUCCUCUUGAGUUGCGUGUUAAGCUGACAUCUGAUCAAGGUGAGGUGUUGUCUAAUCCUCAAUAUUAUAGAAGUUUUAUUGGAAAAUUGAAUUUCCUCACCCACACUCGCCUAGAUUUGUGUUUUGUUUUCCAACAUUUAAGUCAAUUCCUCAAGUCUCCUCGCAUUCCUCGUAUGCCUGCUGCGAUGCAUAUCCUGAGGUAUUUGAAUGGCACACUUGAUGUAGGAGUGUUUCUUAAUGCUUCAUCAGAUUUUUCACUUCAGGCCUUUUGUGAUAGUGAUGGGGCAGCUUGUCAUGAGUCCCGAAGGUCUGGCUCUGGUUUUUGCAUAUCACUGGGGGCAACCUUACUAGCUGGAAAUCAAAGAAGCAUGCCAUUGUUUCUUUAUCCUCAGCAGAAGCUGAGUAUCGAGCUAUGAGUAAAGUUAUGGGUGAACUUGUUUGGUUGGUUCGUUUGCUUGUUGAUUUAGACCUGCCUAUCUCUGCCCCAAUUCUUGUUUUUUGUGGUAACUUUGCUGCAGUUCACAUUGCUAAAAACCAAAUUUUUCACGAGCAUACAAAACAUAUUGAGGUCGAUUUUCAUUUCAUCCGGACUAAGUUGGCUGAUGGUCUCAUUUCUUUGCAUCCUGUUGCUACUUUUUUCUCAACUUGCUGACAUUUUAAAGUGUUUAAUAGGUGGCUAUCAUCGCUUCUUACUUGGCAAGUUCAGAUUUUUGUUCAGUUUUGACCCAAAGUUUGGCCCGCGUGUAUUUACAAAAUUUUGGGUUACCGCCAUGUAAAGAGUAGUGAAUUUACAGUUUUGCCCUAAGUAUAAAUAUAGGUUUUAGAAGACUCUACAUAAAUAAAGAAAUCAGAAUGAAAAAUAUCGAUGCUUUCAUCUGAGUUUUUCUUCUUCUCUCUUUUCUGAAACUAUAUCCAAUUUCACACGAUUGUUAAUCUUCACACAAAUAACGGGCACGUGUUUUGAACUCAAAUACUAUAGCAGUCAUUGAUCAGCCACUCCAGAUUCCAAAUUUUGCGGUAGCCCGAAAAGGAUCCACUCUACUGUCAAUGAUUCCCGAUCAGUUUUUUCAUGUGAAGAGUGUUUGGAUAUUUUAGUUUCAUUUGUCUAGCUCAUAAUUGGAAGUUUCACAAAAUAGGAUCAGUGCAGGAACGACCUCAGUUUACAACAUGUAUGACUACAGGGCUCCAGGUUGUCUUUUGAACAUUAGCUGAUUAACAAGACUAGUCUUAUGAUCUAAACUUGAAGGAAGUACAUAGUUGUACCACAUUUUGAGCUUUUUAGAUGAACUUGUCAAAUAUUUCCUCGUCAUCCUGGUACCACUACUAACAAGUAAUACACCAAGUCCUUUCUUCUUAUUCCAUUAGUUUCAAUUUAUGUGUACCUGUUUGAUUGGACACGAAUUUUAAGAAAAAAUAAAGAUUUUUAGAAUUUGUGGUCCUAAACAAAUUAAAAUGGGCCCAGAAUAUUUGUGUGGUUAUAAAAGUUUCUUAUUAAUGGUAUAGUUGUAGUUUAAGUUAAAUUGUUACUAAAUUUAGAAAAGGUUUCAUUCUUUUUAAAACGGACCAAAAAGUAAAUAGAUUCGUAUAAAUUGAAACAGAAUGAGUAACUUUUUUAUAAAGCGGUACUAUCUCGGUUAUCUUGUGCUUUCGUUAAUUAUGCUAUCGGAUAUUUGUUAUCUUUCACCAUCGGAGAUAUUAUAUAAUAUCUCCACCAAGGAUUCUGUGAUGAAAAAAAAUUCAACUAGCUAGCAUUGGUUUGCCUCAACUAGAAACACUAAUUUCCCAUAAUAUUCAUUCACUUCAUUAACUAUUAAACCACACCUUUAGGUGUUGAUAUCUGACCUCUUAUUUUGUUUUUUAUGAAUGAACGGUAGGUUUAGGCUAGAAUCCCUAUAAAUAUUCCUCUGGGAUUAAAGUCUAGGGGCAAUUCCAUGGGUAUUAGUAUUACUUUGGGAGUAAGGUUUAAGUUUUAUGAUCACAUAUCAUACGUUUUCAAGAUUUACUGACCUCUCUUUCCUUUUUAUAUUGGGACAAACGAUGACCAUUCAUAUAUAUAUGUAUCCUCUUCUAUUUGAUAUAGCUCCAAUUACAGAAAAGAAUCUUUAUAUUGCAGAGGCUGUAAGAGUAGCAGAAAAUACAGCUUUCCUGACAACACCAUGUGACAUGGUUUUAACGGUAUUCAUCAAUACAAAAAAGUUACUGACAUGGUUAAAUAUAAAAAGUUAUGUAGUAUCACAUAAAUUAUAGAGGCAUAUGAUAGAAGUAUUAAACUUUCACAGAAUCUGUUACUCGUGUAGUUUCAUUGCCUUCCCUGAUUGAAGUUACAUUGUUAUCGAGGCACAGAUGUAAGGGGGACGCGUUCUUCCGUUGAUUCAACUGAAUCCAUUGUAAUGGACGCAAACCAUGUGUAUAUAUAUGUAAAAGAAAAGUUAAAAUGUAUACGUAUUACAAGAUCCAAACUCAUCCUGAAACCUAAAUCCUGAAUUUUUCUCUCGGUAAAAGAGAGAGUACUACUAUGAUCUAUCUUCUCUAUAUAAUAAUGGCAGAGAGAAACUUUUGUUGGUCACAAGACCAAUAUCCAUCUCACAAAUAAAGGGUAACUAAUAAGGAGAUGUUGUGGAAAUUUAACUCUGCCAAUAGUAGUGAGUAUGAGUAAUUACGUAGUUUCAAGAAUCUCCAUGCUUGUUCCAGCGGACAAGCAUUCCAAUGCACCUCUUUACAAUAUAAAAUUUUGACUUCUGUUCCUUAGCCAAAUUACUGCAUUUUCGGGUGAAAUUGGUACAUUUUUGGGAUGCACUUUUCGUAAGUCGAGACUUUGAAGAAGAAGUACUCUUUUGUGAAGAACUCCUUGAGAGGGAAGAUCUGUAUGGAUUCUUUUGUGAAUAACUCCUAGGAAGAGGGGGAUUUGAGCUUGGACUCUUUUGUGAAUAGCUCCUAAAUAAUGAUGAUUUUGAGGACGAAUACGAAUGACUACAUGGAUCAUCCUUUGAUAAUUUCCAUUUCUCAUCCAUAUAAUAAUACUCCAUUUUGCUGACAGAACUUUUGGGGAUCUUUUCGUAGAAAUUUAUGAUAGUUCUUCUAUAAUGUAGGGGAGAAAAUGAAAAGGUGGAAAAAGGGUUGAUAACACCAGACAGAUUGACAAUGAAGAGUUGGCAUCUAUUUAUAGCAGUUUGGGACAAUGGUGUAAUUUUGGAAGGCUUUUAAAUCUGAAAUAGGUGUUUGACCAGUGUUUCUUAAUAAUGUGGAAGCAACGCACGUUAAUGCUUACGUCUAAUGUCUGCCAUUUUUCCUAGCUGUAACAUUUUUAUAUUCAGUCUGACCCCUCAUCUACAUUUGAACGGAUUAAAAUGCGACGGAUGAAUAAUUGAAUGAGUCAUAACUCAUUUAAUAUUUUUUUGGAUCAAGGUGGACAAGUCCACUGACUUAAACAAUGGUGACCGAUCAAAAUCAUUUUCCUAUGUCCGGAUGAAUUAGCCGAGUUAUGAGGCUGCAUCACAGAUCUGCAAUUAGCCCAUUUUUAUUUGCCCUAGUGAUGGACGCACAGACGCACCAUAUUCAAGGAGAGGUGCCAUGAUGUAUGUUAUUCGCUGACAGCAUAGUUUUGAUUGAUGAGACGCGAGGUGGUGUUAACGAGAGGCUAAAGAUUUGAAGACAUGCCCUUGAGUUUAAAGAUUUCAAGUUUAGCAGGACUAAGAUAAACUUGUGAAUAGCUCAUUUAAUGUAUUUUUUUUGGAUCAAGGUGGACAAGUCGAUUCGAGUUAAACAAUUAAUGGCUCGCAACUCAAAGACGGCCAACUCCAAAUCAUUUUCCUUCCUAUGUCCGAACGAAUUAACCAAGUUAUAUUUUAGGUGGAGCCGAUUCGAAGCAUUUUUCGGUUGUUAUGGGGCUGCAUCAAGGAUCUGUAAUUAGUCCAUUUUUACUAGCCCUUGGACGCACUGAUGCACUAUAUCAAAGGGAGGUGUCAUGGUGUAUAUUAUUCGCUGACAUAGUUCUGAUUGAUGAGACACAAUGCGGCAUUAACAAGAGACGGGAGGUUAGGAGAUAUGACCUUGAGUCUAUGGGUUUCAAGUUUAGCAGGACCAAGACAGAACACCUUGAGUGCAAGUUCAGUGCUGAGUCGAUUGAAAUGGGCGUGGACGUGAUGCUUGAAUCACAUGUGUCAUCCCCAAGAGAAGCAGUUUCAAGUAUCUUAGGUCGGUUAUACAAGGGGAUGGGGAGAUCGACUAAGCUGUCGCGCAAUGUAUAGGGGUGGAGGUUAGCAUCUGGAGUCCUAUGUGACAAGAAGGUAUCACUGAGGCUCAAAGGUAAGUUCUAUAGAGCGGUGGUUAGACCAGCCAUGUUGUAUGGGACAGAGUGUUGGCCCGUUAAUAACUCGCAUAUCCAGAAAAUAAAAGUAGUAAAAAUAAUGAUGUUAAGGUGGAUAUGCGAGCACACUAGGAUGGGUAUGGUAAGGAAUGACGAUAUCCGGGAAAAGGUGGGUGUCGCCUUGAUGGAUGACAAGAUGCAUGAAGGUAGACUCAAAUAGUUCGGGCACGUGCGGAGGAGAAGUAAAAACGCCCCAGUAAGGAGAUGUGAGCACUUGACUUUGACAAGUAUGAGAAGAGGUAGAGGGCGGUCAAAGAAGUAUUAGAGAAAGGAGAUCAGGUAGGACAUGGCGAGCCUUCAGAUUUUGGAGGACAUGAUGCUUGAUAAGAAGGUGCGGAGGUCUAGCAUUAGGAUUGUACGAUAGGGGAUAGCGGAACUCUUUACUACUCCGUACUGGGUUAGAGGUUAGUCUGAUAGGGUUGUGUCCUAGAAUGCUAGUGAUUAUUGUUGUGUCCACACUUAUCUUUCACUUUUCAUAGUACCAAGACUUUCUUACGUGUUACUGUUAUCAUUUUGCAUUUAUUUUCUGGUACUUACGAUUCUGUUAUUAUUUCUAUGCUUUAUGUUGUUGGUACUGAUAUAUUAUUUUUUUUCUCUAUUUGAGCCGAAGGUCUAUUGGAAACAUCAUCUUUACCCUUGAGGUAAGGGUAAGAUCUGCGUAUACUCUAUCCUCCCAGACCUCACUUAUGAAAUUUUACUAGGUUGUUGUUGGUCUAAAUUUGAAAAUUUUGAAUCUCUGGUUUGGUUCUUGAACCUCUUUCUGGAGAUCAUAAGCUUUUAUGGAGAUGCUGACUACUGUAUGGUGCUCCAUUCGACACUCUUUAACCUAUCCCAUAAUGUGUUUACAUUAUUUUUAUUUCUUUGAGGAGCAAAGACACACGCAUAGUCAUGAGGGAGUGUUUGAUGGUAGAUGGGAAAUGUGACAGAGGAUUUGAAUAUUAGAUAUAUCCUAUUAGUGGUGUUGAAAUUCUACAUUCAUUUCACAAAAUGGUCGGUAGGGGUUAUUAAAUUAUUCAAGAAUUUGCAGUCUUUCACUUUUGUGAUGGACAAUUGGUCAAUUACUGUGGUGAUUUCUGUGAGAUGCUCUUUUUUUCCCUAUCAGAAUCACUGUCACAAACUCUCUGCUAGAUUUCAGUAGACCAUUUAAAGUGGAGUAUCCAAUGUUUAAUACUAGCGUCAUACUUUCUUCGAUAUUUGAAUUAAGGACUUUUCAAAAUGUCAAAGACCUUUUGUCUGCAGCAUAUUUACUGGUGUGAAUUGGUUCAGCUGAUGGUUCACACUUAAUAUUUGGUUAUAGCAUAUUAGUUAUGUUUCUAUCAAAUUCUCAAUCUUUAAUCAAUAGAGAUUUACAUGUUAUUAGUUCUUUAUAAGAUCCCUUAUUGUGUACACAAUUUUUAUACUGUUCAAAAUGUGGUAAAAGCUUUAAGAACAUAUUUUUUUAAGUACUUUCCAAAAUAAGGUAAAAGUUUUUAUGUUAGAAUUUCCUUUUGGUUGGAAUGAAAUUCCUUGUUUCUUGCCUCCAAUUUUUAGUUCUGCCAAGUAUUACUUGAUGAUCAUACUCCAUAUAGAUGAGAAUUAAAUAAUUAAUUUCAAUUUGGCAUCGCCAGAAGAUUACUUAAUUGAGUGUAGGACUUUUUCCAUGGGUAAAUUUAUCAGGGGAAGCGGUCAAUGUUCUUUCUUGCACAUGCACAUAUAUGGCGCUGUACUCAGAACUCAGUAAGUAUCAAUUUUCAAAUUAUGCAAUAGUUAUGUAUAGGCUCCUCAAUUUGAAAACUUUAUUAGGCAGCUGAGCUUAUCGCAAAUUCCAUAAAACUCAUAUAUAGAAUAUUCAUAAAAAGAUCAUGAUAUCAAAUAUUGUCUUUGUUAAAUUUUAAGUAAUCAAGAAAUAUUUUCUUCAAAAUCAACUCAAAAUGCGAUAAGGCCUAUAUUCUUGACAACCAAAUAUUCAAGAAGAUCCACACAAACCCUUCGCUCAAGAAAUACUCCACUUUGGCCCUCAAUUUAGAAAACAAGAAGGAAAAUCAAAGCGAGUUGUUGCUCGUGAUCGUCCAAAACACUAUUUUCUUUCUGGAGGUCAAUUACAACCCAAAAGUAGUAUGCAUCAUUCAACGUUCGAGAAACACAUUGCUUCGGCCCUAGAAUCACAUAGAAUUGGGGUAGAAGAAAAAAAAAAUUUGUAUCAAUCAGGCUUUUUGUAUUGCUUUUGUUGGUUUCUUUGUUGGAUAGCCUCGUGUUCAUGUUAGUUUUAUAAGCACCUAGUCUAAUUCAAUCAAUAUAUAUCCGUUGCAUUCCAUUGGUACUAGUACUAACAAACUUUGUUAUCACUGUUUAUGCAGAUCAUGAAUUUAAAGUCCUUUAUCUAGAAUUUGGACUUUUGCUCUCCCAUAACCUUUCUCCUACUUAUGUACUUCACUGAUCAUUAAAUUACACCCCUAAGCACCUUAUAUGAUGAUUUAAUUAAAGAAGCAAUUUAAGUGCUCUUAACCUAAAUAUAAGUUUUAGAAUAAUGGUUAAGAAAUUUCUAAAUAACAAAUUUAGGAACUUCUUUAAGGUAAUUUCAACUUAAUUUAGAGUAAAUAAUGAUAUUCGACUUAUAGUAUGUAAAUUUAUAUGCAUAUUGCCUCACAUUUUACUAAUAUUUAAUGAAUUUUUGGAUGUAAAAUGAAAUGAUUUAUUGUAAUUCAAAGUAUUUGUAUGUGUAGGAGUCACCCGAAUGCA